GGUGAUUCUGGCGGAAUGAGCGGCGGACGGGUGAGUAACACGUGGGCAACCUGCCUGUAAGACUGGGAUAACUUCGGGAAACCGGAGCUAAUACCGGAUAGUAUUUCCUUUCUCCUGAUUGGAAAUGGAAAGACGGUUUCGGCUGUCACUUACAGAUGGGCCCGCGGUGCAUUAGCUAGUUGGUGGGGUAAUGGCCCACCAAGGCGACGAUGCAUAGCCGACCUGAGAGGGUGAUCGGCCACACUGGGACUGAGACACGGCCCAGACUCCUACGGGAGGCAGCAGUAGGGAAUCUUCCGCAAUGGACGAAAGUCUGACGGAGCAACGCCGCGUGAGCGAUGAAGGCCUUCGGGUCGUAAAGCUCUGUUGUCAGGGAAGAAUAAGUACAAGAGUAACUGCUUGUACCUUGACGGUACCUGACCAGAAAGCCCCGGCUAACUACGUGCCAGCAGCCGCGGUAAUACGUAGGGGGCAAGCGUUGUCCGGAAUUAUUGGGCGUAAAGGGCGCGUAGGCGGUUUCUUAAGUCUGAUGUGAAAGCCCACAGCUUAACUGUGGAGGGUCAUUGGAAACUGGGGAACUUGAGUGCAGAAGAGGAGAGUGGAAUUCCACGUGUAGCGGUGAAAUGCGUAGAUAUGUGGAGGAACACCAGUGGCGAAGGCGACUCUCUGGUCUGUAACUGACGCUGAGGCGCGAAAGCGUGGGGAGCGAACAGGAUUAGAUACCCUGGUAGUCCACGCCGUAAACGAUGAGUGCUAGGUGUUAGGGGGUUUCCGCCCCUUAGUGCUGAAGUUAACGCAUUAAGCACUCCGCCUGGGGAGUACGGCCGCAAGGCUGAAACUCAAAAGAAUUGACGGGGGCCCGCACAAGCGGUGGAGCAUGUGGUUUAAUUCGAAGCAACGCGAAGAACCUUACCAGGUCUUGA
rnacentral:rRNA from 1 species